GGAGAUAUUACCCUGAUAUACCACAUUAUUUAGAAUAUCCCUUUAAGUCUACCAUCAUUCAUGAUAGGGCAGAUGCAUGAUGUUGUGAACCGAUCGAAGGUAUCCUUACCUUAUGGUAUGGGUUUAACUUUGUUCUUCGAAGAGUAUGAGAUUGAUCUUUUGGAGAGACCACUAGAGCUCUGAUGCCCAUAGAUAAUUAUAAUGACUAGUCACUCAAGAGGGUGGGAUUUCAGAAGAUAGAUAGUCAUUGGAUCUGUAGAGGAGCAACUUAGAGAGAUAGGAGAAUUCAGAUGAUGACUAGGCUCCAGCAGCUGUACCUAUUGUUGACACA
rnacentral:lncRNA from 1 species